rnacentral:rRNA from 1 species
GAUGAACGCUGGCGGCGUGCUUAACACAUGCAAGUCGAACGAAGCACUUUAUUUGAUUUCCUUCGGGACUGAUUAUUUUGUGACUGAGUGGCGGACGGGUGAGUAACGCGUGGGUAACCUGCCUUGUACAGGGGGAUAACAGUUGGAAACGGCUGCUAAUACCGCAUAAGCGCACGGCAUCGCAUGAUGCAGUGUGAAAAACUCCGGUGGUAUAAGAUGGACCCGCGUUGGAUUAGCUAGUUGGUGAGGUAACGGCCCACCAAGGCGACGAUCCAUAGCCGACCUGAGAGGGUGACCGGCCACAUUGGGACUGAGACACGGCCCAAACUCCUACGGGAGGCAGCAGUGGGGAAUAUUGCACAAUGGGCGAAAGCCAGAUGCAGCGACGCCGCGUGAGCGAAGAAGUAUUUCGGUAUGUAAAGCUCUAUCAGCAGGGAAGAUAAUGACGGUACCUUACUAAGAAGCACCGGCUAAAUACGUG